rnacentral:rRNA from 1 species
AGUGAACGCUGGCGGUAGGCCUAACACAUGCAAGUCGAACGGCAGCACAGGAGAGCUUGCUCUCUGGGUGGCGAGUGGCGGACGGGUGAGGAAUACAUCGGAAUCUACCUUUUCGUGGGGGAUAACGUAGGGAAACUUACGCUAAUACCGCAGUACGACCUACGGGUGAAAGUGGGGGACCGCAAGGCCUCACGCGAUUA